UACGUAGGGUGCAAGCGUUGUCCGGAAUUAUUGGGCGUAAAGAGCUCGUAGGCGGUUUGUCGCGUCGAAUGUGAAAUCCCGGGGCUCAACCCCGGGUCUGCAUUCGAUACGGGCAGACUAGAGUUCGGUAGGGGAGUCUGGAAUUCCUGGUGUAGCGGUGAAAUGCGCAGAUAUCAGGAGGAACACCGGUGGCGAAGGCGGGACUCUGGUCCGGUUCUGACGCUGAGGUGCGAAAGCGUGGGGAGCAAACAGG
rnacentral:rRNA from 1 species